AAAGGAACAAAGGUUGCUGCAGCAGGUCUCCUGCACGAAGAACACAGCAUGUUAGUCAGAGGAAAUGAAGUUUGUCCUCCUGAGCUGAAGAAGCCCUGCAGCUGAAUUCAACCAGAGCUAAUGUGAAGCCACCAACAGGAGGCACGGACUGCAGAGGGCCUGUCAGAAGGUCACACACAGCCUCACCAAUGCCGGUUCCUCCUCCUUCAGUCUCAGCAGUGCCCAUCAGCUCCCCAGCAACUGCAAGAGAUCAUGUGUGGGAUACUCCCACCUGAUCCUAAUGGUCAAAUCCUGCACAAUGCUCCAAGAGAGGACAGAAACUUCCAAGGUCCUGGUCAAUAUGCAACAGGAGAAUAUCCUUUCCCCAGCUCAUAUCCGGUGAUCAAUUCAACCCUGUGCAUGCGAUCAAACAUCACUGUACAGUAGAUGAGUAUCUAAUGUGAUUUACACUCUGAAAUACUUCUGAUGCCCAAGUUAUUGGCUAUUAGUCUCUUGAAUACCAUUAAUUUGAGUUUCUCCAGUGGCACUGGAGCAAAUAAUUCCAGAGUCUGAUUGCCCUCUGAGAAGAAAAUCUGUCACAUGAAUGUAAUUGAAACUCCUGGUUUGGUUUGGUUAAUUUCCAGAUGUGCCCACAUUUUGCUGAUUAAUUCAAUUAACUAUUUACCUGAAUCGUCAUGAGAUAUUGAUUGGCACUCCUUCCAAAAGAAUUGUAAUUCCAUCAUACCACCAGCCCUUGAUCUUGGAGACCUCUUAUGAAAUUACUUCUUUGGUCAUCUCAAACCUUUAAUUUCACAGCAUCGUAAAUAUAGAUAUUUAUUGUACUCUUGAAGGAGAAUUGACUCAAGCUAGAGCUGGGCAAACAAUAGGCAGUAAUUUAUUCCUCACCUCUUCUUCUGUUUACAUAUUGCCCGCAAACUGAUGUUCAUUCUCUUGAAUGUUCCAGAUUCUGCAUUCAAAAUUAUUUGUAGCAUUAACUCUGAAUAAUUUCUGGCCUGUAGCUUGCAGUUUGUUGAGAGUAUUUGAAAUUUGAGCUGUGUUGGUUAUGUUAAUCAGACCUCUCUCAAAUCUCCCUCAUUCUGAUAAAUGUCAUUCAUCUUAAUUUACCUACAUUUCAUACAAAUUUGGGGUCUCUUCGGUUUUCUUGUUGAAAAUUAUUUAUUUCGGAAAUAAAGAAUCAUGAAACUGA